GCGUGAGUGAUGAAGGCCUUAGGGUUGUAAAGCUCUUUUGGCGGGGACGAUAAUGACGGUACCCGCAGAAUAAGUCCCGGCUAACUUCGUGCCAGCAGCCGCGGUAAUACGAAGGGGACUAGCGUUGUUCGGAAUCACUGGGCGUAAAGCGCACGUAGGCGGAAUUGUAAGUCAGGGGUGAAAUCCCGGGGCUCAACCUCGGAACUGCCUUUGAUACUGCGAUUCUCGAGUCCGAUAGAGGUGGGUGGAAUUCCUAGUGUAGAGGUGAAAUUCGU
rnacentral:rRNA from 1 species